AUAAUGACUAUGUGGUAAAAUAUAUAUUUAUUGAAACAACUGAAUAUGAUUUAAUGAAACACAAUUCACAGGACCGCCUAGACUGAUGCCUUGAGUGCUUUCAACAGCCAUAGCAACGACCUUGACAUCUCGGUUUAUUCUUUCAUAAUCUUGAUACCAGUAUUUAGUUUUAGUUUUAAAAAAUGAAUUCUGGGUAUGGCACUUUCUCUUUGCCCGAUGUAGCUCCGCCUUUUUGCUUUUUUUU